UACGUAGGGUGCGAGCGUUAAUCGGAAUUACUGGGCGUAAAGCGUGCGCAGGCGGUUUUGUAAGCCAGAUGUGAAAUCCCCGGGCUUAACCUGGGAAUGGCAUUUGGGACUGCAAGGCUUGAGUGCGGCAGAGGAGACUGGAAUUCCUGGUGUAGCAGUGAAAUGCGUAGAUAUCAGGAGGAAUACCGAUGGCGAAGGCAGGUCUCUGGGCUGACACUGACGCUCAUGCACGAAGGCGUGGGGAGCAAACAGG
rnacentral:rRNA from 1 species